AACGAACGCUGGCGGCAUGCCUAACACAUGCAAGUCGAACGAGACCUUCGGGUCUAGUGGCGCACGGGUGCGUAACGCGUGGGAACCUGCCCUUAGGUUCGGAAUAACUCCCCGAAAGGGGUGCUAAUACCGGCUAAUGUCUUCUGACCAAAGAUUUAUCGCCUUUGGAUGGGCCCGCGUUGGAUUAGCUAGUUGGUAGGGUAAAAGCCUACCAAGGCGACGAUCCAUAGCUGGUCUGAGAGGAUGAUCAGCCACACUGGGACUGAGACACGGCCCAGACUCCUACGGGAGGCAGCAGUGGGGAAUAUUGGACAAUGGGCGAAAGCCUGAUCCAGCAAUGCCGCGUGAGUGAUGAAGGCCUUAGGGUUGUAAAGCUCUUUUACCCGGGAUGAUAAUGACAGUACCGGGAGAAUAAGCUCCGGCUAACUCCGUG
rnacentral:rRNA from 1 species